UACAGAGGGGGCAAGCGUUAUUCGGAAUUAUUGGGCGUAAAGGGCGCGUAGGCGGCUUUGCAAGUGGCGGGUGAAAUCCCUCGGCUUAACCGAGGAACUGCCUGUCAAACUGCAUGGCUUGAGACCGGGAGAGGUGAGUGGAAUUCCCAGUGUAGCGGUGAAAUGCGUAGAUAUUGGGAGGAACACCAGUGGCGAAGGCGGCUCACUGGACCGGUACUGGACGCUGAUGCGCGAAAGCGUGGGGAGCAAACAGGG
rnacentral:rRNA from 1 species